rnacentral:rRNA from 1 species
ACUGUAUAAUCCCUGCGGGGGAAAGAUUUAUCGCUAUUAGAUGAGCCUACGUUAGAUUAGCUAGUUGGUAAGGUAAUGGCUUACCAAGGCAAUGAUCUAUAGCUGGUCUGAGAGGACGAUCAGCCACACUGGAACUGAGAUACGGUCCAGACUCCUACGGGAGGCAGCAGUGGGGAAUAUUGGACAAUGGGCGAAAGCCUGAUCCAGCUAUGCCGCGUGAGUGAAGAAGGCCUUCGGGUUGUAAAACUCUUUUAAUAGGGAAG